rnacentral:rRNA from 1 species
AUUGAACGCUGGCGGUAUGCUUAACACAUGCAAGUCGAACGGUAGCAGGCCUUCGGGCGCUGACGAGUGGCGGACGGGUGGGUAACGCGUAGGAAUCUGCCUGGUAGUGGGGGACAACUUAUGGAAACGUAAGCUAAUACCGCAUACGACCUACGGGUGAAAGCAGGGGAGCGCAAGACCGUGCGUUAUUGGAGCGGCCGAUAUGAGAUUAGCUAGUUGGUGGGGUAAAGGCCUACCAAGGCGACGAACUGGAGCUGGUCUGAGAGGACGUCCAGCCACACUGGGACUGAGACACGGCCCAGACUCCUACGGGAGGCAGCAGUGGGGAAUUUUGGACAAUGGGCGCAAGCCUGAUCCAGCCAUGCCGCGUGCGGGAAGAAGGCCUUCGGGUUGUAAACCGCUUUUGUCAGGGAAGAAACGCUCUGGGCUAAUACCCUGGGGUAAUGACGGUACCUGAAGAAUAAGCACCGGCUAACUACGUGCCAGCCGCCGCCGUAACAC